rnacentral:tRNA from 1 species
GCGGGUGUAGUUCAGUGGUAGAACGUCAGCCUUCCAAGCUGAAUGUCGUCGGUUCGAACCCGAUCACCCGCU